UACGUAGGGUGCGAGCGUUAAUCGGAAUUACUGGGCGUAAAGCGUGCGCAGGCGGUUCGUUAUGUCCGUUGUGAAAGCCCCGGGCUCAACCUGGGAAUGGCAAUGGAAACUGUCGGGCUAGAGUGUGGCAGAGGGGGGUGGAAUUCCGCGUGUAGCAGUGAAAUGCGUAGAGAUGCGGAGGAACACCGAUGGCGAAGGCAGCCCCCUGGGCUAGCACUGACGCUCAGGCACGAAAGCGUGGGGAGCAAACAGG
rnacentral:rRNA from 1 species